AUUGAACGCUGGCGGCAGGCCUAACACAUGCAAGUCGAGCGGAGGAAGGGAGCUUGCUCCUGGAUUCAGCGGCGGACGGGUGAGUAAUGCCUAGGAAUCUGCCUGGUAGUGGGGGAUAACGUCCGGAAACGGGCGCUAAUACCGCAUCCGUCCUGAGGGAGAAAGUGGGGGAUCUUCGGACCUCACGCUAUCAGAUGAGCCUAGGUCGGAUUAGCUAGUUGGUGGGGUAAAGGCCUACCAAGGCGACGAUCCGUAACUGGUCUGAGAGGAUGAUCAGUCACACUGGAACUGAGACACGGUCCAGACUCCUACGGGAGGCAGCAGUGGGGAAUAUUGGACAAUGGGCGAAAGCCUGAUCCAGCCAUGCCGCGUGUGUGAAGAAGGUCUUCGGAUUGUAAAGCACUUUAAGUUGGGAGGAAGGGCAGUAAGUUAAUACCUUGCUGUUUUGACGUUACCAACAGAAUAAGCACCGGCUAACUUCGUG
rnacentral:rRNA from 1 species